rnacentral:rRNA from 1 species
AACGAACGCUGGCGGCAUGCCUAACACAUGUAAGUCGAACGAGACCUUCGGGUCUAGUGGCGCACGGGUGCGUAACGCGUGGGAACCUGCCCUUAGGUUCGGAAUAACUCCCCGAAAGGGGUGCUAAUACCGGCUAAUGUCUUCGGACCAAAGAUUUAUCGCCCUUGGAUGGGCCCGCGUUGGAUUAGCUAGUUGGUAGGGUAAAAGCCUACCAAGGCGACAAUCCAUAGCUGGUCUGAGAGGAUGAUCAGCCACACUGGGACUGAGACACGGCCCAGACUCCUACGGGAGGCAGCAGUGGGGAAUAUUGGACAAUGGGCGAAAGCCUGAUCCAGCAAUGCCGCGUGAGUGAUGAAGGCCUUAGGGUUGUAAAGCUCUUUUACCCGGGAUGAUAAUGACAGUACCGGGAGAAUAAGCUCCGGCUAACUCCGUG